rnacentral:rRNA from 1 species
AGCGGCGAACGGGUGAGUAACGGGUGGAUAACCUACCUCUCCGGUGGGGAAUAACGGCUGGAAACGGUCGCUAAUACCGCAUACGGUUGCCGGUCCUUUGGACUGGCAAAGAAAGGAGCGUUUGCUCCGCCGGGAGAUGGGUCCGCCUCCGAUUAGCUAGUUGGUGGGGUAAUGGCCUACCAAGGCAACGAUCGGUAGCCGAACUAAGAGGUUGAUCGGCCACACUGGAACUGAGACACGGUCCAGACACCUACGGGUGGCAGCAGUAGGGAAUCUUGCGCAAUGGGCGAAAGCCUGACGCAGCCACGCCGCGUGGAUGAUGAAGGCCUUCGGGUCGUAAAGUCCUUUUCUGAAGGAAGAACUGCCUGGUGAGGAAAUGCUCCAGGCUUGACGGUACUUCAGGAAUAAGCAACGGCUAACUCUGUGCCAGCAGCCGCGGUAAUACAGAGGUUGCAAGCGUUGUUCGGAAUUACUGGGCGUAAAGGGAGCGCAGGCGGCCAAGUCAGUCUGAAGUGCAAGCCCGGGGCUCAACCCCGGAAUUGCUUUGGAUACUGCUUGGCUUGAGUACGUCAGAGGUGAGCGGAAUUCCAGGUGUAGCGGUGAAAUGCGUAGAUAUCUGGAGGAACAUCGGUGGCGAAAGCGGCUCACUGGGACGAAACUGACGCUGAGGCUCGAAAGCGUGGGGAGCGAACGGGAUUAGAUACCCCGGUAGUCCACGCUGUAAACGUUGUGCACUAGGUGUGGGAGGUGUCGACCCCUUCCGUGCCGUAGCUAACGCAUUAA